CAAGGGAGCAGCAAUCCUGUAUGCUGGGUGGUAGUGUCUGCUUCUGGACGACCGUCACAGAGCCUCUGCAGGGCCGGCAUCCGCGCCAGACUGGUCCCCUGGGGACCGCCGCUGCCCAAGGACAAGUGCUGAGAACGAAUCGCCGGGAUUCAAGCGUCUGCUAAAAGUACUUUCAUUUUCUGCUACGGUUUCUGGAUGGAAUGGUUGCAGAGUGGCGUGUGCUCAUUAGAAUCAAGGGCUACCUGUGCCAUAGUUACCAGCAAGUUAGAACCUGACGCCCGAUGCUUGAUUUAG